AUGCAAGUCGAGCGGAGAACACCAGAUGUUUACAUCGAAGUGUUCUUAGCGGCGGACGGGUGAGUAACACGUGGGUAACCUGCCUCGAAGUGGGGGAUAGCCUUUCGAAAGGAAGAUUAAUACCGCAUAAGCUUGUAGCAUCGCAUGGUGCAGCAAGAAAAGGAGCAAUCCGCUUCGAGAUGGACCCGCGGCGCAUUAGCUAGUUGGUGAGGUAACGGCUCACCAAGGCCACGAUGCGUAGCCGACCUGAGAGGGUGAUCGGCCACAUUGGAACUGAGACACGGUCCAGACUCCUACGGGAGGCAGCAGUGGGGAAUAUUGCACAAUGGGCGAAAGCCUGAUGCAGCAACGCCGCGUGAGUGAUGAAGGCCCUCGGGUCGUAAAGCUCUUUGAUCAGGGAUGAUAAUGACAGUACCUGAAAAACAAGCCACGGCUAACUACGUGCCAGCAGCCGCGGUAAUACGUAGGUGGCGAGCGUUGUCCGGAAUUACUGGGCGUAAAGGAUGCGUAGGUGGAUAUUUAAGUGGGAUGUGAAAUCCCCGGGCUCAACCCGGGAACUGCAUUCCAAACUGGAUGUCUAGAGUGCAGGAGAGGAAAGCGGAAUUCCUAGUGUAGCGGUGAAAUGCGUAGAUAUUAGGAGGAACACCAGUGGCGAAGGCGGCUUUCUGGACUGUAACUGACACUGAGGCAUGAAAGCGUGG
rnacentral:rRNA from 1 species